UACGUAGGUGGCAAGCGUUAUCCGGAAUUAUUGGGCGUAAAGGGAGCGCAGGCGGUUUAUUAAGUUUAUGGUGAAAGUUCGGGGCUCAACCCCGUGAUGCCAUAGAAACUGGUAGACUUGAGUGCAGGAGAGGUGAGUGGAAUUCCAUGUGUAGCGGUAAAAUGCGUAGAUAUAUGGAGGAACACCAGUGGCGAAGGCGGCUCACUGGCCUGUAACUGACGCUGAGGCUCGAAAGCGUGGGGAGCAAAUAGG
rnacentral:rRNA from 1 species